rnacentral:rRNA from 1 species
GACGAACGCUGGCGGCGUGCUUAACACAUGCAAGUCGAACGGAAAGGCCCUGCUUGCGGGUACUCGAGUGGCGGACGGGUGAGUAACACGUGGGUGAUCUGCCCUGCACUUCGGGAUAAGCCUGGGAAACUGGGUCUAAUACCGGAUAGGAGCCAUUUUUAGUGUGAUGGUUGGAAAGUUUUUUCGGUGUAGGAUGAGCUCGCGGCCUAUCAGCUUGUUGGUGGGGUAAUGGCCUACCAAGGCGGCGACGGGUAGCCGGCCUGAGAGGGUGGACGGCCACAUUGGGACUGAGAUACGGCCCAGACUCCUACGGGAGGCAGCAGUGGGGAAUAUUGCACAAUGGGCGCAAGCCUGAUGCAGCGACGCCGCGUGGGGGAUGACGGCCUUCGGGUUGUAAACUCCUUUCGCUAGGGACGAAGCUUUUUGUGACGGUACCUAGAUAAGAAGCACCGGCUAACUACGUG